AAAAGCAUUUUGAAUGCAGAUUU
rnacentral:miRNA from 1 species